rnacentral:lncRNA from 1 species
GUUAUCCUAAUUUCUAAAUCACAAUCUCAAAUCUAUAAUAUUUCUCUACAAAAAUGAUAAUUUUCCAAAUAUAGCAGGUUUUAGAAAAUUUAUUUAUAAAACAUAACCUAUUGAUAAAAAAAUAUAAAACCAUACCCAUCUAUCAACAAAAACUCUUGUUAUCCUAAUUUCUAAAUCACAAUCCAAAAUCUACAAUUUUUUUCAAGAAAAAUGAUAACUUUCCAAAAAUAAUAGGUUUUGGAAAAUUUAUUUAAACAUUACAUCUUAUUGAUACAAAAUUAUAAAACCAUGUCCAUCUCCUAAUUUCCAAAUCACAAUCCAAAAUCUACAAUAUUUCUAUAAAAAAAUUAUAACUUUCCCAAAAUAGUAGGUUUUGGAAAAUUUAUUUAAACAUUAUAAUUCAUUGAUCAAAAAUUCUAAAAACAUACUUAUCUAUCAACAAAAACCCUUGUUAUUCCAAUUUCUAAAUCACAAUCCCAAAUCUACAAUAUUUAUCAACAAAAUGACAACUUUCCAAAAAUAGUAGGUUUUGGAAAAUGUAUUUUAAAAUUAUAACCUAUUGAUCAAAAAUUCUUAAACCAUACCCAUCUAUAACCAAAAACUCUUGUUAUCCUAAUUUAUAAAUCACAAUCCCAAAUAUACAAUAUUUCUCUACGAAAAUAAUAACUUUAUAAAAAUAGCAGUUCUUAGAAAUUUUAUUUAUAAAAUAUAACCUAUUAAUCAAAAAUUAAAAAAACAUACUCAUCUAUCAACAAAAAAAUCUUGUUAUCGUAAUUUCUAAAUCACAAUCUCAAAUCUAUAAUAUUUCUCUACAAAAAUAAUAAUUUUCCUAAAAUAGGAGGUUUAGAAAAAUUUAAUUUAAAAUGAAA